CUUCGGCAUCCGAUAACAAUAGAUCCGGGAAUUACGAACCCCGUUUUUUAGGCAACGCCCCAAGGAGGGGCAGAUCAAGACACGGAGGACCAGGCGGGGCGGGAGGAAACCAAGAGGGACGUAUACAGACACGCUCCAAGACUCAUUGAAUUGUCCACAAGCGGGCGAGGAAACUUCUUUAUUAUGCCAGUCCUUUCAACCAUGGGAACUUCCUG